UACGUAGGCAGCAAGCGUUGUUCGGAGUUACUGGGCGUAAAGGGUGUGUAGGCGGUUCUUUUAAGUUUGGUGUGAAAUCUCCCGGCUCAACUGGGAGGGUGCGCCGAAUACUGAGGGACUUCGAGUGCGGGGAGAGGAAAGUGGAAUUCCUGGUGUAGCGGUGAAAUGCGUAGAUAUCAGGAGGAACACCGGUGGUGUAGACGGCUUUCUGGACCGUAACUGACGCUGAGACACGAAAGCGUGGGUAGCAAACAGG
rnacentral:rRNA from 1 species